rnacentral:misc_RNA from 1 species
GAUGAAGAACGCAGCGAAAUGCGAUACGUAAUGUGAAUUGCAGAAUUCAGUGAAUCAUCGAAUCUUUGAACGCACCUUGCGCUCCUUGGUAUUCCGAGGAGCAUGCCUGUUUGAGUGUCAUUAAAUUCUCAACCUCACCUGGUUUCUGACUUGUGUGAUGGCUUGGAUUUGGGAGUUGUGCAGGCUGUAGUUAUCUGCGGCUCUGCUCUCCUUAAAUGUAUUAGCAGGUCUUUUACCUCUAUCCCAACAGUGUGAUAAUCUAUCUACGCUGCUGGUUUGGAGACCCACUUGUGGGGGACUGGCUUCUAAUCGUCUGCAAAGACAACUUGACAUUCUUGACCUCAAAUCAGGUAGGACUACCCGCUGAACUUAAGCAUAUCAAUAAGCGGAGGA